AAGUGAUCAUAUCUACAUCGGAAGUGUCUUAGACUACAAAUUGCAAGACUUAAUCACUUUGGUCAGGUGUUAACAGACUGUGUAAUUAGACCAUUAAACACAAAAACGAUGUUUCAAGUGAGAAUUAUGCAGGUCUGAUGCUGAAAAAAUAGGUGAGAUGGAGUACAACUACGACCGGAAGUUACUUUUCCUAGCAAUUCUCUUAACCUGGCCACUUGCUGUGUGGGAACAAGCUCUGUGAGAAGGAGGAGGACCUGAAGAGCUGGGAGGUGAACUUUGCCCAUGUGGAACAGGGAGAGAAGAGAAACACACUGGUCAAACUCAGAGAAAAGAGGUGAUCGCCAAGAGAAAAAGACAAGUCGUCUGAGGAAAAUCAAGUUGAGCCACAGGCAAAAAGAUCCAAGAAAGCAGAGACAAACAUCAGAGGAGACAUAAA